rnacentral:rRNA from 1 species
UACGUAGGGGGCGAGCGUUGUCCGGAUUCAUUGGGCGUAAAGCGCGCGCAGGCGGCUGGGCAAGUCGGCCGUGAAAUCUCCGGGCUUAACUCGGAGGGGUCGGGCGAGACUGCGCAGCUCGAGGCGGGUAGAGGGCAGUGGAAUUCCGGGUGUAGUGGUGGAAUGCGUAGAGCUCCGGAGGAACACCAGUGGCGAAGGCGGCUGCCUGGGCCUUACCUGACGCUGAGACGCGAAAGCGUGGGGAGCGAACCGG